UUGACCUCAAAUCAGGUAGGACUACCCGCUGAACUUAAGCAUAUCAAUAAGCGGAGGAAAAGAAACUAACAAGGAUUCCCUUAGUAACUGCGAGUGAAGAGGGAAAAGCUCAAAUUUAAAAUCUGGCAGUGUUUUGCUGUCCGAGUUGUAACCUAGAGAAGUGUAGCCUGUGCUGGACCGUGUACAAGUCUCCUGGAAUGGAGCAUCGCAGAGGGUGAGAAUCCCGUCUUUGACAUGGACUACCAGUGCAUUGUGGUUGCGCUCUCAACGAGUCGAGUUGUUUGGGAAUGCAGCUCUAAAUGGGUGGUAAA
rnacentral:rRNA from 1 species